CCUUUCUACUGUGUGCAAUUAG
rnacentral:miRNA from 1 species